rnacentral:rRNA from 1 species
UACGGAGGGUGCGAGCGUUGUUCGGAAUUACUGGGCGUAAAGCGCGUGUAGGCGGCCUGCUAAGUCUGAUGUGAAAGCCCGGGGCUCACCCCCGGAAGUGCAUUGGAAACUGGUAGGCUCGAGUCCCGGAGAGGAGGGUGGAAUUCCUGGUGUAGCGGUGAAAUGCGUAGAUAUCAAGAGGAACACCGGUGGCGAAGGCGGCCCUCUGGACGGUGACUGACGCUGAGACGCGAAAGCGUGGGGAGCAAACAGG